UGUUCAGUUCAUUUCAAGAGUGAAGCUUUGAGAUUAAGCAAGAAUUAUGAAGACAACCGUCCUCUCAAUCGUUAUACUCAGUUUGGCCUGCGUGUUUGCAGCUGAUAUAUCGAAAUCCAAAAUAGCACGAAGAACGUGAAGCAUGAAGGCGCUACAUGCGACAAUAUAUCGGCUAAAAUAAAAUGUGGUCAAUAUGGGAUAACAGAGGAGCAAUGCUUAAGCAAUGAUUGUUGUUGGAACCAAGGCGAAUCGAGCGAGUUUGGAUGCUAUUUUAGAGGUCAUGAAUGCUCUGAGGUGCUGGAGAUAGAACGACUACAUUGUGGUUAUCCGGGAAUCACGGAAACACAAUGUAAAAAAAAGGCUGUUGCUGGGACAAAGAAAAAUCAGGCGUCCCCUAC